GACGAACCGUGCGAACGUUGUUCGGAAUCACUGGGCUUAAAGGGCGCGUAGGCGGGCGGUCAAGUCCGUGGGUGAAAGCCCCCAGCUCAACUGGGGAAUGGCCCCGGAAACUGGUCGCCUCGAGGGAGGUAGGGGCGUGCGGAACGUUUGGUGGAGCGGUGAAAUGCGUUGAUAUCAAACGGAACUCCGGUGGCGAAGGCGGCACGCUGGACCUCUUCUGACGCUGAGGCGCGAAAGCUAGGGUAGCGAACGGG
rnacentral:misc_RNA from 1 species